UGGCGGUAUCUAUAACAGUUGGCCUCGUUGCUUUAGAAUUUUUCGGAAACGGGAUUGUAGAUACUGUAUGGAAUACUCUCAACUACACAAAACAAUGGCCCUACUUAGAACGUCAGAUACAAAAAAGACAAAAGCAGGAUCCAUUGGUCGAGGUUGCUAGUUUCGAUCGUCGUAAGGACCCCGCCUAAUCUAUUCAUUCCUUACUUCGGAUACCGUUUUCAGUACUGUGUAUGAUGCACAAGAAAAAAGAAUCUCUUAUUCAACGAGACAGGAGAUAUUGAACGGGUGAAGCAUAUUUACAAAUAGUAUCUAAUAAAUUUAAGAAAAAAUAA